rnacentral:rRNA from 1 species
CCUACGGGAGGCAGCAGUGGGGAAUUUUGGACAAUGGGGGAAACCCUGAUCCAGGCAUGCCGCGUGAGUGAAGAAGGCCUUCGGGUUGUAAAGCUCUUUCGGCUGGGAAGAAAUCGCACAGGCUAAUACUCUGUGUGGAUGACGGUACCAGCACAAGA